AUACGGGGGGGGCAAGCGUUGUUCGGAAUUACUGGGCGUAAAGGGUGCGUAGGCGGCCUAGGCAGUCUGAGUUGAAAGUCCCCGGCUCAACCGGGGGAGGACCUCAGAAACCCGUAGGCUAGAGAGCUGGAGAGGGAAGCGGAAUUCCCGGUGGAGCGGUGAAAUGCGUAGAUAUCGGGAGGAACAUCGGAGGCGAAGGCGGCUUCCUGGACAGCAUCUGACGCUGAGGCACGAAAGCUAGGGGAGCGAACGGGAUUAGAAACCCCAGUAGUCC
rnacentral:rRNA from 1 species